GGAUUAGGUCAGAUGAUUGACGGCAAAACAUGAAUAUGACUGACUGGUGCAAAGCCUUGGUACUUACAUUGCCUCUCUUUAUAUUCCUUGCACAAUGUCGUCCUCAUGAGGACAUCCAUGUUGGAAGUGCAAGGGGGCGAGCUGCUUUGAGCCUACUCGGAGAUCGAGAAACAUGUUUCUUGAAGCACCAAAAUAAUAGAGUUGUCUACUGCUGCCGUCAACACCCAACUACAUGUUAUGAAACAUUUCAGUGGUGUCUGGCCGUAUGCUACAAUCAUAAUUGCAAGUGGUCAACUGCCCAUCCCGCCAAUGAUGCCUAAUCUGUGCAAUCUUCUCAAGGCCAUAUGACGAUGGUCUUAAAACCAUCAUUGUUAACAUAAAUAAUGUACUCCAGAAUGAUUGGUACUAUUAAGGGAAAGUUCUAUGCUUGUCCAUUGUUUUAA